rnacentral:lncRNA from 1 species
AUUUUGAAUAUCUGAAAAUAAUAGACUUUACACCCGGCGUGAGCCACCGUGCCUGGCCGUGUAUACAUACUUUUUUUUUUUUUUUUUUUGUGACGGAGUUUUACUCUUGUCCCCCAGGCUGGAGUGCAAUGGUGUGAUCUCGGCUCACUGUAACCUCUGCCUCAUAGGUUCAAGCAAUUCCCUUACCUCAGCCUCCCAAGAAUCUGGGAUUACAGGCACCUGCCACCAUGCCUGGCUAAUUUUUAUAUUUUUAGUAGAGAUGGGGUUUCACCAUGUUGGCCAGGCUUGUCUCGAACUCCUGACCUCAGGUGAUCCGCCCGCCUUGGCCUCCCAAAGUUCUGGGAUUAUAGGCGUGAGCCACUGUGCCCAGCCCAACAUAAUUUAAAAAAAAAUUAAAAAAAAAUCUGACUCUCAUAUCACAGCAUUAAUUUUCUUAGCCUCUCAUUCCCAUUUAAGAACUUUUGUGAUUACCCUAGGCUCACACUUAUAAUUCAGAUAAGAUCAGGUGCAUUCAGGGUGGUAUGGCUGUAGACACCAAUCUCAUAAUUCAAAUUAAUCUCUUUGUUUUAGAGUCAUCUGAUUAUCAUCCUUGAUUUUAUCUACAGCCUCUAUUCUUUGUCAUAUACCAUAAUAUAUUCCUAGAACGUGGGGGUUAAGACAUGGGCACUUUUGUGGGGCAUCAUUUCAUUUAUCACAACUCCUAUUAAUUGUAUUUUAUUAAAAUAAUCCUGGCUCUGUCCAACUUUUGUUUCCAUCCCAGAGAACCCUUAUGUAAACUUUUUUAUCUUAGAAGAAAAUUGUGGCAGGGUGCGGUGGCUCACGCCUGUAAUCCCAACACUUUGGGAGGCCGAGGUGAGGAUCAUUUGAGGUCAGGAGAUCAAGACCAGCCUGGCCAACGUGGUGAAUCCCCGUCUCUAUUAAAAAUACAAAAAUUAGCCAGGCAUAUAUGGCCUUUAUUAUGCUUAGGUAAAUUCCAUCUAUACCUAGUUUAGAGUUUUUAUCAUGAAGUGGCAUUGAAUUUUUGUGAAAUACUCUUUCUGAAUCUUUUGAGAUGAUUGUUAUCCUUCAUUCUGUUAAUGUGGUAUAUCACAUUUAUUAAUUUAUGUAUGUUGACCCAUCCUUGCAUCUUAGGGAUUAAUCCCAUUUGGUCAUGAUGUAUGAUCCUUUUAAUGUGCUGUUGGAUUUUGUUUGUUAGUAUUUCGUGCAGGCUUUUUGCAUUUAUGUUCAUCAGGGAUAUUGGCUGUAGUGUUCUUGUAGUGUCUGACUUUGGCAUUAGGGUAAUGCUGGCCUUGUAAAAUGAAUUUGGCAAACACAGGCAACCAAAGCAAAAAUGGACAAAUGGGAUCACAUCAAGUUAAAAAACUUCUGCACAGCAAAGGAAACAAUCCACAAAGUGAAGAGACAACCCAAAGAAUGGGAGAAAAUAUUCGCAAACUACCCAUCUGACAAGGGACUAAUAACCAGAAUAUAUAAAGAGCUCAAACAACCCUAGAGGAAAAAAUCUAAUAAUCUGAUCAAAAAGUGGGCAAAAGAUCUCAAUAGACAUUUCUCAAAAGAAGACCUACAAAUGACAAGCAGGCAUAGGAAAAGGUGCUCAAUGUCACUGAUCAUCAGAGAAAUGCAAAUCAAAACUACAAUGAGAUACCAUCUCACCCCAGUUAAAAUGGCUUCUAUCCUGCCAGGCACGGUGGCUCAUGCCUGUAAUCCCAGCAAUUUGGGAGGUGGAGGUGAGCGGAUCACCUGAGGUUGGGAGUUUGAGAUCAGCCUGACCAACAUGGAGAAACCCCGUCUCUACCGAAAAUACAAAAUUAGCCGGGUGUGGUGGUGCAUGCCUGUAAUCCCAGCUACUGGGGAGGCUGAGGCAGGAGAAUCGUUGGAACCCGGGACGCGGAGGUUGUGGUGAGCUGAGAUCGCAUCAUUGUACUCCAGCCUGGGCAACAAGAUGGAAACUCAGUCUCAAAAAAAAAAAAAGGGGGGGCCGGGCGCGGUGGCUCACGCCUGUAAUCCCAGCACUUUGGGAGGCCUAGGCAGGCAGAUCACCUGAGAUCAGGAGUUUGAGACCAGCCUGGCCAACAUGGUAAAACCCCGUCUCUACUUAAAAAAACAAAAAUUAGCCAGGCGCGGUGGCGGGUCUGUAAUCCCAGCUACCCGGGAAGCUAAGGCAGGAGAAUUGCUUGAACCUGGGAGGUGGAGGUUGCAGGGAGCCGAGAUCAAGCCACUGCACUCCAGCCUGGGAGACAGAGUGAGACUGUCUCAAAAGUAAAUAAAUAAAUAAAUAUAAAUAAAAUUGUAAAAUAUGCAUUCACAAGUUAGUGUUACUGGAAAACUGCAUGUUAUGUAACAGUAUGUACAGAAGUGAAAAAGUACAACCAAAAUGAUAUAUCACCAAAAUUAAAAACACAAAAAUUUAAGAUAAAAACAAAAUGACACGUACAAGUAAACCGUUUUUUUUAAUUUAUGUAAAUAUAAACACGGACAUUUAGAAAUAUACACAUUGAAAGGACAGAGAUGAGAAAUUAUUCCUUGGGUGUUGGGUGUCUGUUUGCCAUUUAUUUCUAUAAUGUAGUUCCCUCUUUUCUGAAAAACUUGCAACCAACGUGGAUGACUUUUCCAAAGAGAAGAGGGACCCAGCAUGGUGGCUCAUGCCUGUAAUCCCAGCACUUGGGAGGUCGAGGCAGGUGGAUCAUCUGAGGUCAGGAGUUCGAGACCAACCUGGCCAACAUGGCAAAACCCCUAUCUCUAUUAAAAAUACAAAAUUAGGUGAGUGUGGUAGCAGGCACUUGUAAUCCCAGCUACUUAGCAGGCUGAGGCAGGAGAAUUGCUUGAAUCCCGGAGGCGGAGGUUGCAAUGGGCCAGGAUCGCGCCACUGCACUCCAGCCUGGGUGAGAGAGUGAGACUCCGUCUCAAAAAACAAACAAACAAAAAAACACAGAAGAGAAAACACUCUCUGAAAUGGAAGUAAAGGGACUAGAAAACAAUGGGAAGCUAUUUAGUAGUAGGGGAAAGGGCUAUUUUCCAAUGGCGAGUGACAAAACCACAAGGCAAAACUGUCCCUCCCCCUCCAACUGGAGUCCAUACAGGGACGCAUGCACACGGGCACACGUGUGUCCCUCUGUGAGCGUUGUAUGGUGCACACUGAUAGACUGAUGGGGACCCUCUGACCAUUCCUGUGAGGACUUGAGCCAAAAAGCUACUUCUCUCUUGGCACACCUGGCCUAGCCCAGUGUGCUUUUGAAACUCUAGGAACCAUUGGAGUCCACUGGAGGGCUUCUGAAAACACCAACUGCUGGGCCCCAGGCCCACAGCUUCUGAUUCAGUGGGUCAUGGGUGGGGCCUGGGAGUAUGCAUUUUUAAUAGAUUCCCAGCGAGGCAGCUGCUGCCUGCCAGGGAACCCCACUUUGGGAACCACUGGACUAGUGUCUGGGUCAGCGAAUAGAGGAGGCCACCCGGAGGCCAGAAGGUGCCUGAGGCCCUGGGCUUCAUGGCUGGUGGCUGGAGAUGCCCUCCUCCAGGCCUGGAGCUUCCUCAACCUGACAACUUGCCAAUAAGGGAAAUGGGCGCGAUCUAACGUGCCGCGAACUAGUGCAGACUCACAGCCUAGGUCGAGUAGGAAUGGAAUUCUAGAAAUGAUAUAUGCCAAGAGUUUGCAGUGUAGACCUCAGAAUCAUCUCAGAUUCAAAGAGGAAACCAAACGACUGCAGCAGCAGCAGCAGCAGCAGCAGCAGCAGCAGCAGGGAACAGGUUGGCUACAGAGCCAGUGGUCACACCCGGCUUUCUGCAGCCUUUCUGGCUCCGCAGCAUUUUUUUCAGAGCUUAAGGGCGGGAGGAGAUGCUGUAUAUUUAGGGGUGGAGUGAGGAAUAGCGGAGCAUUCCGGCAUUUCUGGAGUAACACUGCCCCCAAGAGCAAUCUGUGAUAAAGCCUCAAGCUAUGUGGACAAACAACAUGAAAGGCGAGGUAAUGAAAAAAAGAUCCAGAAAGAUCCAGCAGCCAACUUGACGAUCCUCGCUGAUUGAAGAUUAAAGCACUAUGAGCGCAGCUAGGUUCAAAUAGCGGUUCUGCCACUUACUCACUUUGUGACCCUGGGCAAAUUAGUCAACUUCCCUGUGCCUCAGUUUCCCCUACUUGUACUUCAUGGGGGAUUAAUGAACUAAUAUAUGGAAAGUAUUCAAAGCAUUUCUGCUGACUACAGAAACUCUUUACAAUUCUCCCAGAAAUAAUCCAGGUCAUCAUGCAUUUGCCCACAUUCCAUCUUUGUCAGGAAUUGUAGGCCAAAAUGUUCUUUUUUUAUUUUAAUUUAAUUUUAAUUUUUUUUUGAGAUGGAGUCUCCCUCUGUCUCCCAGGCUGGAGUGCAGUGGCGUGAUCCGGGCUCACUGCAACCUCCACCUCCCAGGUUCAAGGAAUUUUCCUGCCUUAGCCUCCCGAGUAGCUGGGAUUACAGACGCCCGCCAACAUGCCUGGCUAGUUUUUAUGUUUUUUUAGUAGAGACGGGGUUUUGCCGUGUUGCCCAGGCUGGUCUCCAACUUCUGACUUCAGGUGAUCCGCCUGCCUCGGCCUCCCAAAGUACUGGGAUUGUAGAUGUGAGCCACUGCAACCGGCCCAAAA